GGGGAUUUAGCUCAGUGGUAGAGCGCUUGCCUAGCAAGCGCAAGGCCCUGGGUUCAGUCCCCAGCUCCCCCA
rnacentral:tRNA from 1 species